rnacentral:lncRNA from 1 species
CAAAAGACUAUUAUAUCCUUGUUAUUUAUAUAUAUAAUAAAUUAUUAUUUAAAUAAAAAAAUAAAAAUAAAUAAAAAUAAAUAAAAUAAAAGUAAAUAAUUGUUUUUUAUGUUUUCGAGUUAUACUUUUUCAAAUUCGAACUUUUUUAUAAAUUUUUUUUUUUUGAAUUUUUUUCUAUUUUUUUAAAUUUUUUUUCAAAUUUCUUUUAGAAAAUCAAAAAUUAUGUUUGAAACUAUUUUUAAAAAUUUUUAAUAUAUUUUUGAAGUAUUGAUUUAUAUAUUUAUUAGAAUCCUAAAUUUCACAUUCCAAA